GAGAGACAGCAAGCUCAAGGGCACCAUGUUGCAGAGACAGCUGGGCAGAUGCCACCCACCGCACACCCAAACACACAUCCCAUUGGAAGUAAUGCAAUGCAAAAGACUGACAGCUACAGGAACUCAAGGUGAAUUGUGGGAUAUAAAACAGGGCAAUCAGACAGCACAAGACAACCAAUGAACAAAGCCACCAGGACUACGAUUACAGAGAGAACAAUGCCAACAACCAACUAAAGCAAGAUAUACUAUUACGAGACAGAAUAUGGAUUACAUGGUAGAGGGCAAUGCAGUUAAAGGAGGUCCCCCCGGGAGGGUUUGGUUUUAGUUCUCGGAUGCUGGUUGUAUUGCUGGUUGUAAUGCUGUUUAUUGGUUUUAACAAUGAGACAGGGCUUAUAUUAUAUUUGUACUGGUUCUAGCUUUGCCCUGUCUGUAUAUGUGUAUUCUGUACACCAUCCUGAGCCCUCUGGGGGAGGGCGGUAUAUAAAUCCAACAUAAAAUAAAAAUAAAUAAAAAUAAAUAAUAAU